GACGAACGCUGGCGGCGUGCCUAAUACAUGCAAGUCGAGCGAAUCGGCGGUUUGGUGAGUAACGCGUGGGUAACCUGCCCUUCAGUCUGGGAUACCAUUUGGAAACAGAUGCCAAUACCGGAUACUUAAGGAUGGACCUGCGAUGCAUUAGCUAGUUGGUAAGGUAACGGCUUACCAAGGCGAUGAUGCAUAGCCGGGUUGAGAGACUGAUCGGCCACAGUGGGACUGAGACACGGCCCAAACGCCUACGGGAGGCAGCAGUAGGGAAUAUUCCACAAUGGACGAAAGUCUGAUGGAGCAACGCCGCGUGAGUGAAGAAGGUUUUCGGAUCGUAAAGCUCUGUUGUUGGUGAAGCGGUAAUCAACCAGAAAGUCACGGCUAACUACGUGCCAGCAGCCGCGGUAAUUC
rnacentral:rRNA from 1 species